rnacentral:lncRNA from 1 species
GAAAGACCAAUGACCGAGUAGAAGAGAGAUCCUGAUGCUUAGUCUUCCUAGCUCCAGAUCAGAGAUGCUGGACAAGAGCUCCCAUCAGCAAGCUGACCUCAAGUCAGAGAUAACCCAUCCUGUUCCAAGGAAAACAGAUCUGCCACUUUCUUCCCCUUUGGGUGUGAGUCCUUCCAUCCCACAUUUGCAAAGAGGCACCUUGAAACCCGG